rnacentral:rRNA from 1 species
AGCUCCAAUAGCGUAUAUUAAAGUUGUUGCAGUUAAAAAGCUCGUAGUUGGAUUUCUGGUAGGAUGCGCCUGGCCCGCCUCGAUUAGAGUGUGAGUGCCGGUGCGCGUUUGCCAUCCUUCUAGAAAACGUUUCUACCCUUCACUGGGCCGGACUCGCGAUCUAGAUCUUUUACUUUGAAAAAAUUAGAGUGUUUAAAGCAGGCUAUUGUCUUUGAAUAGAUUAGCAUGGAAUAAUGACUUAGGACUUCGGUUCUAUUUUGUUGGUUUCUAGUACUGAAGUAAUGAUUGAUAGGGAUAGUUGGGGGUGCUCGUAUUCAGCGGCCAGAGGUGAAAUUCUUGGAUUCGCUGAAGACGAACUUAUGCGAAAGCAUUCACCAAGGAUGUCUUCUUUAAUCAAGAA